CGAAAACGAGCCAACAUUAGCCGGAAUGAGCGGAGAAAGACGCUCGUGUUGUUGCUGCUCCGCCGCGCUCUAUUCUGGAGUGCAUUACGUCAUCACGCUUUGCCAGACCCGAUUGGCCCGGGACACCAAAUAAAUGGUCACCGCGAGGACUCAGGAGUCCACCUGAUUGGUUCAGAGCUUCAGGAAGAGACUGGAUUCAGUGGCGUCUCUAUGAGGGGCUGGGGGGCUUGCCCUUUCCCAAAAAACUGCUGGCCCCCCGGUGGCUCCACCAUUAAUAAAAAAUAAAACCAAAUUACUGUUGUUAUUAUUAUUAAUAAAAUGAAGUUCGUUAUUAUUUGUUUUCUGUGUACAACACUUUGUGUUACUGUGAUUGAAAAGUGCUAAAUGAAUUAAGAUAGAUUUAACAAGAAUCGGCAAACACAAUAUUUUCACGUAGAGAAAAUCAAUACUUUUUACCUAAACAAACUUCUGUAUGUUAAAAAAUAGAAAAAAA